AUUACAUGAAAGUAGUCAUCAUACAAAUAUAAAAAUAAGGAGAUGUAUGAUUACCAAUGAGACAACAGUACAACAUAAGAAGAAACAAUUAAAAGCAAUUUUGUAACUCUAGUAACACAUAAAUUAACAGUAUUGUGAAAUGUUAUGCUUUGCCUUUCAAAUGCUGAAGUUUACAUAAUUGUUUGGUGGGAAAUGGGACAAAACUUAAUUGAUAACUUAACAACAUGAUAUAAUCAUUUUUGAUAUUAGGUGAAAGUAGUCAUCUUACAAAUAUGUUUGUAUACAUCUAUCUUAACAGUCAGUUUAAGGUGUUGGUUUAAGUUUUAUAAUUAAUCAAUUUCAGUGUUGAAAUAAGAAAAAUAGCUGCUAAAAUCAUUUGAUAGCUAAAUUAGGCCC
rnacentral:lncRNA from 1 species